AACACGUGAGUAACCUGCCCCUGACUCUGGGAUAAGCCCGGGAAACUGGGUCUAAUACUGGAUAUGCACCGUGAACCGCAUGGUUCUUGGUGGAAAGAUUUUUUGGUCAGGGAUGGACUCGCGGCCUAUCAGCUUGUUGGUGAGGUAAUGGCUCACCAAGGCGACGACGGGUAGCCGGCCUGAGAGGGUGACCGGCCACACUGGGACUGAGACACGGCCCAGACUCCUACGGGAGGCAGCAGUGGGGAAUAUUGCACAAUGGGCGCAAGCCUGAUGCAGCGACGCCGCGUGAGGGAUGACGGCCUUCGGGUUGUAAACCUCUUUCAGUAGGGAAGAAGCGAAAGUGACGGUACCUGCAGAAGAAGCGCCGGCUAACUACGUGCCAGCAGCCGCGGUAAUACGUAGGGCGCAAGCGUUAUCCGGAAUUAUUGGGCGUAAAGAGCUCGUAGGCGGUUUGUCGCGUCUGCUGUGAAAGACCGGGGCUCAACUCCGGUUCUGCAGUGGGUACGGGCAGACUAGAGUGCAGUAGGGGAGACUGGAAUUCCUGGUGUAGCGGUGAAAUGCGCAGAUAUCAGGAGG
rnacentral:rRNA from 1 species